rnacentral:rRNA from 1 species
UACGUAGGGUGCGAGCGUUAAUCGGAAUUACUGGGCGUAAAGCGUGCGUAGGCGGUUCGUUAAGUUCGUUGUGAAAGCCCCGGGCUCAACCUGGGAAUGGCAAUGGAAACUGGCGGGCUGGAGUAUGGCAGAGGGGGGUGGAAUUCCGCGUGUAGCAGUGAAAUGCGUAGAGAUGCGGAGGAACACCGAUGGCGAAGGCAGCCCCCUGGGCCAAUACUGACGCUGAGACGCGAAAGCGUGGGGAGCAAACAGG